AUUCCAGCUCCAAUAGCGUAUAUUAAUGUUGUUGCAGUUAAAAAGCUCGUAGUUGAAUUUCUGGUUAAAAUCUUAGCUGGCUUUGGUCGUUAAUGUUUUAAUCAUCCGUUAGAGAACUAUAACCGUCCUUAACUGGUCAUUAUAGAGAUCUAACAUUUUACUUUGAAAAAAUUAGAGUGUUCAAGGCAGGCAAUCGUCAUGAAUACUAUAGCAUGGAAUAAUGGAAUAGGACUUUGGUUCAUUUUAUUGGUUAUUGAACCUUAGUAAUGAUUAACAGGGACAGUUGGGGGCAUUAGUAUUUAAUUGUCAGAGGUGAAAUUCUUGGAUUUAUUAAAGGCUAACUUAUGCGAAAGCAUUUGCCAAGGAUGUUUUCAUUA
rnacentral:rRNA from 1 species